GACCUGGUCGUAUGCGGAAAACGUAAUGAGAUUUAAAAAUUUAUAAAAUUGUUUAAAUAGACUCAUUAAUUGUCCAUUUUUAUGGGUAAUUGUUGUCCCAUCUCCUCCCUCGUGGGUGGGAUAGAUGGUGUUUUUUCGGUAUUGGAGUUCCUUUAUAUUAUAUAUAUGUAUGAACUCUAAAUCAUAGUUAUGACGAUUGCUCUUUAACAACAUGAUGUACAUUUAUGUGUGUAUCAUAGUUAUUGAGUAACCCAAUGGAGCU
rnacentral:snRNA from 1 species